rnacentral:misc_RNA from 1 species
GAUGAAGAACGUAGCGAAAUGCGAUAAGUAGUGUGAAUUGCAGAAUUCAGUGAAUCAUCGAAUCUUUGAACGCACAUUGCGGCCAUAGGUAUUCCUUUGGCCAUGCCUGUUCGAGCGUCAUUUACACCCUCAAGCCUAGCUUGGUGUUGGGCGUCUGUCCCGCCGUUCUCGCGCGCGGACUCGCCUCAAAGUCAUUGGCGGCGGUCGUGCCGGCCCCCUCGCGCAGCACAUUUGCGCUUCUCGGAGGCCCGGCGGAUCCGCGCUCCAGCAAGACCUUUCACGACUUGACCUCGGAUCAGGUAGGGAUACCCGCUGAACUUAAGCAUAUAAAUAAGCGGAGGA